AAUACCAAACGAAAUUCUGUUAUUAUUCUUAGAUAUAGAAUACCUCCUCCUACACAUGUACGCAAGCAACCGGGAAACAUAGGGCAGAGUUAUGCGUAUCUCUGUAUUUUCAAGGUACGCUACUUGCUUUCAAACAUCUCGAUCGUAUACUCGGAUGGAAGCUCUGUAUUUUCUGUUUACACUGUUCAAAGCUUACACGUAUCUUUUAAAAAGUUCAGCGAAUAAUUUAUCCGUAAUGGAAUUUUGUAAUCGAUUAAUUUCAGCCAUUCGGAAAAUUAUAUAAGAUACGAUGUAUUUACGAGAGUUUUGAAUAAUAAUUUAUUUGUAAGGCUGUAAUACUGUUUUAACGCCUGUUACAUUUUCGUACGUAUUUUAAUCCUAGGUCAGUGCAAUUUACAUGGACCCGUCGCUCGAAUCCAACAUGAUUCUAGUGAUCGUACGAAUGAUU